GAUGAACGCUGGCGGCGUGCCUAAUACAUGCAAGUCGAGCGAACAGACGAGGAGCUUGCUCCUCUGACGUUAGCGGCGGACGGGUGAGUAACACGUGGAUAACCUACCUAUAAGACUGGGAUAACUUCGGGAAACCGGAGCUAAUACCGUAUAACAUGUUGAACCGCAUGGUUCAACAGUGAAAGACGGUCUUGCUGUCACUUAUAGAUGGAUCCGCGCCGCAUUAGCUAGUUGGUAAGGUAACGGCUUACCAAGGCAACGAUGCGUAGCCGACCUGAGAGGGUGAUCGCCCACACUGGAACUGAGACACGGUCCAGACUCCUACGGGAGGCAGCAGUAGGGAAUCUUCCGCAAUGGGCGAAAGCCUGACGGAGCAACGCCGCGUGAGUGAAGAAGGUCUUCGGAUCGUAAAACUCUGUUAUUAGGGAAGAACAAAUGUGUAAGUAACUAUGCACGUCUUGACGGUACCUAAUCAGAAAGCCACGGCUAACUACGUG
rnacentral:rRNA from 1 species